rnacentral:rRNA from 1 species
AUUGAUAUAUUCAAUGAGUCUAUAGCCCUGGCCGACAGGCCCGGGUAAUCUUUGAAAUUUCAUCGUGAUGGGGAUAGAUCAUUGCAAUUGUUGGUCUUCAAC